UACGUAGGGGGCAAGCGUUGUCCGGAUUUAUUGGGCGUAAAGCGCGUGUAGGCGGCCAGAUAGGUCUGCUGUGAAAACUCGAGGCUCAACCUCGAGCUGUCGGCGGAAACCAUCUGGCUAGAGUCCGGAAGAGGAGAGUGGAAUUCCUGGUGUAGCGGUGAAAUGCGCAGAUAUCAGGAGGAACACCGGUGGCGAAGGCGGAUCUCUGGGCCUGUUCUGACGCUGAGGCGCGAAAGCUAGGGUAGCGAACGGG
rnacentral:rRNA from 1 species